AGUGAACGCUGGCGGUAGGCCUAACACAUGCAAGUCGAACGGCAGCACAGUAAGAGCUUGCUCUUACGGGUGGCGAGUGGCGGACGGGUGAGGAAUACAUCGGAAUCUACUUUUUCGUGGGGGAUAACGUAGGGAAACUUACGCUAAUACCGCAUACGACCUACGGGUGAAAGCAGGGGAUCUUCGGACCUUGCGCGAUUGAAUGAGCCGAUGUCGGAUUAGCUAGUUGGCGGGGUAAAGGCCCACCAAGGCGACGAUCCGUAGCUGGUCUGAGAGGAUGAUCAGCCACACGGGCACUGAGGCACGGUCCAGACUCCUACGGGAGGCAGCAGUGGGGAAUAUUGGACGAUGGGCGCAAGCCUGAUCCAGCCAUACCGCGUGGGUGAAGAAGGCCUUCGGGUUGUAGAGCCCUUUUGUUGGGAAAGAAAAGCAGCAGGUUAAUACCCCGCUGUUCUGACGGUACCCAAAGAAUAAGCACCGGCUAACUUCGUG
rnacentral:rRNA from 1 species